CUGGCUCAGGACGAACGCUGGCGGCGUGCCUAACACAUGCAAGUCGAGCGAUUGAGAGGUGAGAGGUGAGAGGUUAGAAGUGAGAUUAAGAAGGCUUUGGCAAAGCCAAAGCCAACAAUAAAUCUCACAUCUCGCUUCUCACAUCUCACCUCUCAAUAGCGGCGGACGGGUGAGUAACGCGUGGAUAACCUG
rnacentral:rRNA from 1 species